GUUUUCGUAGUGUAGUGGUUAUCACGUUUGCCUCACACGCGAAAGGCCCCUCGGUUCGAACCCGGGCGAAAACA
rnacentral:tRNA from 1 species